AACUCUCGGCAACGGAUAUCUCGGCAACGGAUAUCUCGGCAACAAAAUGCGAUACUUGGUGUGAAUUGCAGAAUCCCGUGAACCAUCGAGUCUUUGAACGCAAGUUGCACCCCAAGCCUUCUGGCCGAGGGCACGUCUGCCUGGGUGUCA
rnacentral:rRNA from 2 species